AGAACAGUAGAACAAGAAUGAGAAAGAAGAGAAGAUGAUUCUGGUUAAGUAUUUCUCCCAGUAGCUUGCUGGGAAAAAAUAUCUUGGUAAGGAGGGGAGCGAGAACAAGGGAGAGAAACAAAGAAAUUAGACCGUGUUAAAAAAGACCGGAAGAGAAGAGAGACAAGACUCACAUUUCUUGCUUUCUCUGGUUGUCUGACCCUAUCUGUGCUCCUCUCCCUGCCACAGCCGGAGCUCUCUGUCAUGGGAAAGGCGAAGGCCAAUGCUGGGCUCCUGGCCCGGAGGCCUGACAACUUGGCUUUCAAACAUCAGAGACUGCCUGUCUGGUCCCCAAUGCUCACUGCUCACACCAUCCUGCCUUCCUUUUAUUGUAUGGCCACUAUACGUGUGAAACUGGGAGUGUGCCUACUUGCCACCGUGCAGAAUACACAUGAACUGAAGGUGGACUACACACACGCAGGGUCAUGUGAUAAGUGUUUUGAGACCACAAGCUGUUGAACCAAAUCCAAGUCCUUUGAGAAGCACAGUGAUUAUGUUUCCUAUUUCCUGUCCCAGAGAGAUGUGUUCUUCUACUUUGGGCUGAUCAACUUCCACCAGAACAUACAUGGACUCCAGGGAUGAUGGACAGAUGGUCAGGAGAAAAUAAAAGCCUGCAGCGCCUACAGAGCCCUUCAUAAAGGAAAAUAAUGGACUCCCUAUCGCCCCCUGCUGGGCCAUGGCCAACAGCAUGUUCAACGACUCCUUCACUCCGACGUACUAGUCAGGAGAGGAGGGUCCAGUGGUCCAUGUUCAUCUGUUCAGGAAGGGCAUCCCCUGGUACACCGACAAGAACGUCAAGUUCCGCAACCCACCAGAUGAGAACAAGACACUAACGUUAGCAAGUGAUUGAAGGCACGGCCCGGCCUCUGUACUGGUAGAAGCCCGUGUUUGACCUGGACCCACAACAACGGCUUCAUCAACGAGGACUUGAUAGUGUGGAUGAGGGAGGCUGCCUUCCCCAACUUCAAGGAGCUCUACGGGGUCCCGAGCUAGAGAACCCUUCACUGAAGGGCUGCCGACUGGGAACUACUGCAUCCAUAUCUCCUACAGUAGCCAUUAUUAUUAAUCUGCUUAUUAAUGCUUUAUUCUACCAGAUUGAUCAUUUUGAGAUUUAAAUCAAUUUAAUUAAAACGAUUUCCAAUUGGCAGAUUACUAUUUCCGACCUUGAGGCAGAUUGGGGUUAGCUAGUUUCUCAUUGGGUGGAAGUGAAACAGUAGGUUGUGGCUUAAAAUGUUGGAUUUGUUUAUUUGGUCAGUUAUAAAAACAAUGUGGGCCACAGCACAUGAAGCCCUGCGUUAGACUGCAGUGGAUUCCUUCUAGGGCAGAAAGGAAGUGGUACUGUCCACAGUCAGCUGGUUCGGGAGUCAGAACAACUUCCUGCCCGUAGCCUACCUGAUCACUGGCUGUCUCAUCCUGCUCCUCGCUGUUAUCCUCACCGCCAUUUGGUGGAAGUUUGGUAAGAACAGACGGAAUAUGGAGGAGUGAUGUAAAAGGACCAAUGUGAAAAGGGGUGAGGAAGAAAAUACAUAUUGAGUGAAUCAUGAGAAAGAGAAGUCUGAUAUUUCAUUCUAAAUACUGUGAAUGUGACCAAUUGAUUUACUGAAAUGGUCAACGAUCCAAAUGCACGUAGUUCACAUUUGAGAUGUGGUUUGUGUUAUUAGCGUUUGAUUAUCAUGAACGCUUGUGCUUGGUUUAAUUUCCCUACAUCGCCAUGUGGUGGCAGAAGUGGUGUUAAAAUGAAAUGAGGUGGGAUACAUUCGGAAAUUGUUUUCAGAUUAUUACAGUGCAGUCGGGAAAUAUUCAGACAGUUUAAUACUUUCCAGUCGUAUUCUAAAAUUGAUUAAAUGUUUUUUUCCCCUCAUCUACACACAAUAUAUA